CACCACAGCUGGUAGUGCUCUGAAGACAAAAACAGGAUCGUAUAUCACUUUAAAUUCUCGGGCAAGCUCAUUUUCUUUAGUCAUAUUGGUUUCUACAUUAUAAGAUCAUGAGGACCUUUGCUCUCUUAGCGAUUUUUGGUUGCGUCUUUCUCGAUGGAAAUGUCAUAUCUCAAAAAUAUGCAACUGCUGAACCAUUCACUGAAUCAACAUCAAAAGUGAUAGAGAAAACGUGCAGCCCUAACAUGAAAUGUGGCUUCUGGAAUUCGAAGUGCCGCCAAAGAUUACUUAAGCUAUACAUA